CCUCAAGAAUGCUUCUGGGGACUCACUGUGGAGACGAGGGCACUGACAGUCCUUUGCAAGUCUCAAGGUAGGAAGGAUGAGGACGGCCCUCCUGGAACAAGUGACAAUGGAGCGGACACUAUCUCAUGGACGUCAAGGACGAAGAGUAAGACCCCCGCGUCCAGGCCCACUGCACAGGAGUCUUCCUGUGCCUCUUCAUGCAGAGUUCUUGUCACGUAUGCCUUCAGAAGUCUCCUGCCUGCCACCUGACCUGCAGAUUCUGGAUUUUCCAGCCCCCGUGACCCUGUGACCCAGGUCUCCAGCCUGCUGCAGUUUGGGACUUACCAACCCUAAGAAUUGUGUGGGCCAUUUCCUUGAAGUAAAUAAAUCAACCAAUCUCUGUGUGUAUGUGUC